GGACUACUAGGGUAUCUAAUCCUGUUCGCUCCCCUGGCUUUCGCCCCUUAGCGUCAGGUACCAGCCAGGACACUGCCUUCGCCUUCGGUCUUCCUCCGGAUCUCUACGCAUUUCACCACUCCACCCGGAAUUCGAUGUCCCUCUCUGGCCCUCCAGUCGUGCCGUCUUGUCCAUCCUUGCCCGGGUAAGCCGGGCACUGUCACGGCCAACUGACACGACCGCCUGCGGGCGCUUUACGCCCAGUAACUCCGGACAACGCUCGCCCCCUACGUCUUACCGCGGCUGCUGGCAC
rnacentral:rRNA from 1 species